rnacentral:rRNA from 1 species
UACGUAGGGGGCAAGCGUUGUCCGGAAUCAUUGGGCGUAAAGCGCGUGUAGGCGGCCGAGUGUGUGAGGCGUGAAAGCCCGGGGCUUAACCCCGGAAUUGCACCUCAAACUACACGGCUAGAGCAUUGGAGAGGGUAGCAGAAUUCAUGGUGUAGCAGUGAAAUGCGUAGAUAUCAUGAGGAAUACCAGAGGCGAAGGCGGCUACCUGGACAAUUGCUGACGCUCAGGCACGAAAGCGUGGGGAGCAAAAGGG